UUUUACUGUUUUUCUUUUAUUAAUUUUACUUUAAUUGGGAAGUUCAUAUUAUAGUUUUUUAGAAAAAUUUUUUCAAAGUUAUUACAAGCAGAGUUAGUGUGCCCAAGAUUGCAUUCAUGGUGUACCUUAUCCCACUCUUCUGCCGAAAAUUUUGUAUCUUGCGUCAAUGAGAAGAAAAUAGGAAAAUAAUCAGAUAUAUCUGUUUUUAUUAUUCCUGCCGUUAGAGAAGUAUCAAAGAUCGAAUUAGUCAAUAUAUUGUCUAUUGCAGUGAUUGAAGUUGGAGUUAGUGUGUUAAUAAUUGGGAAGAUGUAAUGUUGAAGCAUUUCGUCAAAAAAAAGUUUAGUAUUGGCAUGUUUAUCUUAUUGUAAACAAUCUAUGUUUAUGUCUCCAAUACAGAAUAUUUUUUUUUGCUCAUUAUUGUUUUUUAUAAAAAUUUGUUUUAAAUGAUUGGAAAAGUUAAAUAAAUCACCUUCAGGUGGCCGGUAACAUGUGGAAA